AGAGUUUGAUCCUGGCUCAGAAUCAACGCUGGCGGCGCGCUUAACACAUGCAAGUCGCACGAGAAAGUGGAGCAAUCCAUGAGUAAAGUGGCGUACGGGUGAGUAACACGUGGAUAAUCUACCUUUUAGUGGGGAAUACCCCCGGGAAACUGGGGACAAUACCGCAUAAGCUCGAGAGAGGAAAGCAGCAAUGCGCUGAAAGAGGAGUCCGCGGCUGAUUAGCUAGUUGGCGGGGUAACGGCCCACCAAGGCGAAGAUCGGUAGCCGGCCUGAGAGGGCACACGGCCACACUGGCACUGAAACACGGGCCAGACUCCUACGGGAGGCAGCAGUGGGGAAUCUUGCACAAUGGAGGAAACUCUGAUGCAGCGACGCCGCGUGAGCGAUGAAGCCCUUCGGGGUGUAAAGCUCUUUCGACGGGAACGAUAAUGACGGUACCCGAAGAAGAAGCUGCGGCUAACUACGUGCCAGCAGCCGCGGUAAUACGUAGGCAGCAAGCGUUGUUCGGAAUUACUGGGCGUAAAGAGUGUGUAGGCGGUGUUUUAAGUCUGUUGUGAAAUCUCCCGGCUUAACUGGGAGGGUGCGGCGGAGACUGGAAUGCUAGAGUAUGGGAGAGGUAAGCGGAAUUCCUGGUGUAGCGGUGAAAUGCGUAGAUAUCAGGAGGAACACCUGUGGUGUAGACAGCUUACUGGACCAUGACUGACGCUGAGACACGAAAGCGUGGGUAGCAAACAGGAUUAGAUACCCUGGUAGUCCACGCCCUAAACGAUGCAUACUUGGUGUGAGCCAUUCAUUUGGUUCGUGCCGGAGCUAACGCGUUAAGUAUGCCGCCUGGGGAGUACGGUCGCAAGGCUGAAACUCAAAGGAAUUGACGA
rnacentral:rRNA from 1 species